GAUGAAGAACGUAGCGAAAUGCGAUAAGUAAUGUGAAUUGCAGAAUUCAGUGAAUCAUCGAAUCUUUGAACGCACAUUGCGCCCGCCAGUAUUCUGGCGGGCAUGCCUGUCCGAGCGUCAUUUCAACCCUCGAACCCCUCCGGGGGGUCGGCGUUGGGGCUCGGCCCUCCCUUAGCGGGUGGCCGUCUCCGAAAUACAGUGGCGGUCUCGCCGCAGCCUCUCCUGCGCAGUAGUUUGCACACUCGCAUCGGGAGCGCGGCGCGUCCACAGCCGUUAAACACCCAACUUCUGAAAUGUUGACCUCGGAUCAGGUAGGAAUACCCGCUGAACUUAAGCAUAUCAAUAAGCGGAGGA
rnacentral:misc_RNA from 1 species